rnacentral:rRNA from 1 species
UCCUCCUACGGGGGGCAGCAGUGGGGAAUAUUGGGCAAUGGGCGCAAGCCUGACCCAGCAACGCCGCGUGAAGGAAGAAGGCUUUCGGGUUGUAAACUUCUUUUAAGGGGGACGAACAAAUGACGGUACCCCUUGAAUAAGCCACGGCUAACUACGUGCCAGCAGCCGCGGUAAUACGUAGGUGGCAAGCGUUAUCCGGAUUUAUUGGGUGUAAAGGGCGUGUAGGCGGGAGCGCAAGACAGAUGUGAAAACUCAUG